rnacentral:SRP_RNA from 1 species
GCUGGGCAUGGUGGUGCAUGCCUGUAGUCCCAACUACUCAGGAGGCUGAGGCAACAGAAUCACUUGAGCCUGGGAGGUCCAGGCUGCAGUCAGCCAUGAUCGUGACACUGCACUCCAGCCUGGGCAACAGAGUGAGACCCUGUCUCAA